rnacentral:lncRNA from 1 species
UUGUACUAAAUUCUUCAAGCUUUUGGUUUUGGCACCCCAAAACCAAGGUAGGACUCCCCAUCAAGACAAAGUAUAUUGGAAUAAGAAUGGAGGUGACAGCUGAUUCUCUGUAGAGAAUAUCAGAGCCUCAACAUAUAGUCCUACACAUUGUACACUAGACAACUCCAGGGGGCAACAUUUAUACGGCCUCCGUGAAUGUCAUUCUAGUUAUAAAAUGUGGCAGCUGUGAAUAUUGUCAUAUUCUCAAUAUACUCCUUAUGAAAUUUAGUCUUAUUCGUUUUUUGGUAAUAUAUGAAAUUGUCUAAUUAACCUGUAGCCAUGUUAAGUUUAUAGAGUAGUUCCCCAAACUCUCUUGACAUAUCCUGCCACUUGAUGUUUGAAAGCAAUCUGACAAAGUUAGAAGCCAAUGCUAUUUUUUUUAAAGUCAGGGAAUGUGCCAGAAUGCAGCCUUAAAACCCUUGCCUCAGAAUCACAAUUGUAAAUUUGCAUUUACAUAAACACACAGGUUCAAAUGGCAUUUAUAUUAAAGCAUCUUACCAGUGUUACUGUCAUAUGGAGGUUGGGAGUGGAGGCUCAGGAGUUCAUAGCUGGGCAAGAUUGGUUCCUCUUCACUAACGAGGUCUGUGAUCUUCUCAAACUUCCUCAUUUGAAGCAUGGGGGCCAUCAUAUUACCUACGUCCUUCAUACAGUUGCUAUGAAGAUUCUAUGAGAUGAUACAUAAAAAUGACUAAAAAUAGCAUCUGACAUAGAGUCCAAAUAAACAUUAGCGACAUAAUGUUCUUGGGUCUGGACUAACUGCUUCCUAAUUUUUCUGGGACGCUUUGAAUGCAUUCACAUUUAGUAAUCUCAUGGAAGCACAAGAGAAAGAAAGGAUCAUUUUCAGCUGCAUAUUUGCAUUUACGAGUAGGUGGUGCCAUGAGGGGUAAUAGUAGUUCUUACUCUAUUGAUCCUUGUACCGCCAGAGUCCAAGUGAGAAAGGAAUAGGAUAAUUGUCACUGAAAGGAGUUUGGGCAUUUGUUGGGUCAGUUGAUACAACUGCUUCCUGUUUCAUUUCUUGAUGACAAGGUGAAUGGGGGGCUGUGACAGCCAUGAGUGCUGCCCACCGAAUGUGUCCAGUUGUCCUUAACCUGUGGAGAAAUUACACUUUGCUUACUAUAUCAACUUGGGUGAACUAGGAGCUUGCUUUGGUUAAUGAAGAGCGAGAGGGAGUGAUUUUUGUGCCUUUGAGGAGGAAUCUUAAAGUUGAAUGCUUGCUUAAUUAAAGCCUUGCUCCCUCCUGAUCUUUUGUUGUUGUUGUUUGUCUUUUUAGGGCUGCACCUGUGGCAUAUGGAUGUUCCCAGGCUAGGGGUCAAAUCGGAGCUAUAGCUGCUGGCCUAUGCCACAGAAACUAGGAUCAAAACCACAUCUGUGACCUUCAUCACAGCUCACUGCAACACCGGAUCUGUAACCCACUGAGCAAGGCCAGGGAUGGAACUGGUGCCAUCGUGGAUACUAGUCAGAUUCAUUUCCACUGAGCCACGACAGGAACUCCUCCCUCCUGCUUUAAUGAUUGGUAAGCAUGGGCUCAGGUAGAGUAAUCAGCAGCUUGGAUCCCUGAGAGGCUAUGGGGAGCAGAGGCCUCUGCUGGCCUGUGAUGGACACUGAGCAUGAGCCUGACAUAAAGCUUUGUGGUCUCAAGUCACUGAGGUUUUAGAGAUUUCUUGUUGAAUAUAACUUGCUUACCCUGACUUUUUUCAAGGAGCCCUGUGAGGACAUUACACCAGUCUGACUCUGAGAGACACUCCUAGAGAUAGAUUAUGUUAUGAUGAUGGUCAAUGUGUGUAAAUCCUUGUAGAUAGCAACUUUUUGAUUCUUUUAACAUCAAUACAUAUAUUAUGUAACAAGUUAACUGGUUUAUGAGUUUUGAACAUUUAGUAAUAAGUAAUACACAUUGCUUCCUAAAAUGUCAUUCAUGCCUUAAAAAUAAGCAUAUACCUUUAACAUAUUACUCCUGCAUAAUUAAGUAUACUGUUAUCAAAGAUGAACUAAGGUAGAUUGUUUUUGCAUGCUACCCUCAAUUCUGUUUAUUCUUCAAGAACUCUGAGUAAAACUUAUCUGAGGAUAAAGACUGCAGCAAAGUUACUGGCUAAUCUUCUUAAGAAAAAAAAUAGAAGAAUGUUAAAAAUCCACACAAAGAGAUUCUUUCCUGCAAAGUGGCAUUGAACCAGCAAUCAGACAUGAAAUUAUUAUUGAUUUUUACCUAUUAUUUAUAGUGUUAUGAGAAGGUGAUAUACAUGGCAUGUAGCAAUGAUUGCUCUAUUUUGAAUUCUGUUGAACCUGCUUUAAAGAAAAUUAGAAAGUAUCUCACAAAGAGCCUUUGAAAACUAGGAAGCGAAAAACAUGACUACUAAGGACUAAUGGGAUUAGAAAAUAUUCAUGAUUUAGACAACUAAUGAGUUUAAAACAAUUAAGGUGUUUAUUUAUAGGACUGAAAAUUUAUAUCUUAUAUACUUUAUAUCUUUCAGUCAGCUUUAGAAUAUUUUUAAACAGACAAAAUCGUAAACUGUAACCAUUUUGUUUCCUGUUCAAAUUUGAUUAGGAAAAUAAACAUAAAUAAUGUGAGAAAUUAGUGUUUUCAAAAACCAAACAAAAACAUGAAAAAACAGGCAAUUAACUGAUCAGAAAUUACAUUCUUUAUUCCACAGAACAUUUUAAAUUUCUCUACUCCUUGAUCAUAUCCACUUUGAUGUAUUUCUAUGGGAAUUUGUUCUUAAAUUAUGAUAGCACAGAGUUUGUGUGCCCAGCUUGGUAGAUGGUUCUUUCAACUCAACUUCCAUAUAAACUCCCUCUAUAUUCCAUAAUACUCUCUUGCAUUCAUUAAAUUCUAAGUUUCUUAUAUUAGGAGACAGAAAUUCAAGCUGUUUCAUAGUGAAGCUAUGAAGCUAUGUGCCAGACAACAAUUCCCUUUGAGUGCCAUUGUCUUUUUGUAUGGUUGGUUGACUAAUCAUUUUAAUAUUUGAUCGCACUUCUUGAUUAUUUAAAAAUUAUUUGGAAAGGGAAACUUGAAAAUGUUGAACUCAUAUAGUAAAGCAGAGAUGAGAAUUCAUUGGUCUGCUGAAAGUGAAAAAUCUUUAGUUCAAAUAUUCAUAAAAUGGCCAUAAGACAGCUUAUAUAACUUAGACAAAUAAGACAAAGAAUAUACAUUUCAUAGACACAAUCAUUCUACUCUUCAAGCUAUGUUUUUGCAUCUAUGAAAAUGUGCCAUAAUUCAAAUAGGUUUUUUACCUUUUUCUUUCUAUUUAUGUUGGGUGAAGUGGCUGACCUUGACUAUACAUUGAAUAUAGCUACUGAAAUGUAUUUAUUUUUAUUUGCCUCCAAUGAGAAAAUAAGUUCUGUAGGUGUAGAAAUGCUGCCUUGUUCAAUGUUGUAGCCAGAACAGAUAUGGCUUCAGGGUAGGGGCCCAGUAAACCUUUGUGAAACAUGGGUGAGGAAUUACUGUUUGGCAUAGUCACACCUGUUGCAUGUGCCUUUGUAUGCACUCAUACUGCCUUAUGAUUGUUUAGAAAAAUACUAUUCUUCAGUCUUAAUAUGAUGCUUUACUUAGUUUAUUUUUCUACUCUGUGCUUUCAGGCUCAGUUAUGGCUAUUAAGGAACAAUUGAACUUAAAAAUGCAUUGCUUGAAGGCUGUGGUAUACUGUCUUUAAAUCCUCUUUUUCCCCAGUCUUUCAUAUACUUUUAGAAAACACCCCGAUGUGUACUCUGUAUGUGUGUUUAAACAAUUCCCCGAGGUUUAGGUUCUAAAUAUUUUUAAAAAUUUUUUUAUUGGAGUAUAGUUGAUUUACAAGGUUGAAUUGUCUCUCCCUAUUUUAUUUAUUUAUUUAUUUAUUUAUUUAUUUAUUUUUGUCUUUUUAGGGCUACACCCGCAGCACAUGGAAGUUUCCAGGCUAGGGAUCGAAUUGGAGCUGUAGCCGCUGGCCUAUGCCACAGCCACAGCAAUGUGGGAUCCAAGCCAUGUCUGCUACCUACACCACAGCUCACAGCAAUGCCAGAUCUUUAACCCGCUGAGUGAGGCCAGGGAUCAAACCCAAGUCCUCAUGGAUACUAGUUGGGUUUGUUAACCACUGAGCCAUGAUGGGAACUCCUAGGUUCUAAAUCUUCAGAGUAUUGUUGCAUCUGAUGACUGCAGCCCAGAGUUUCCUGGGUGAAUACAGAGACCAUCCUGUCAGCUGGCUUUUGAUUUUGUGUAAAAUCCAAGUUCUCAGUUUUCUUUCUGUCCAAGGGCUGGGAGGCCAGUAUAAUUCCAAUGGCCAUCACUGCCUGGCCUCUUCAGUUGUGCAAUGUUGUUGAGCAAUAGCAUGUAAAUGAGGUUUUUAUCACUGCCUAUAAGUUCUUCAUCACUCUGGUUUCUUAGGAGCAUUCCAUUUCAUGGGAGAGCAGAAAAUUUAAAAAGCACACCAAUACACAUCUCCUCAUAUUUAUGCAGAAGAGGAAAGGUUAUACAGACUGCAUUAAAAAAGAACAACACAGUCUAUGCAUUGAAAUCUCAUUGACUUUUUGUUAAUUUGCCUUGAGCCUGGAGAGCAGCUGAAAAUAAUAUUCUCAGAUUUGAACCAGAGAGUACAGAUUCUCCAAAGUUGCUUCUUUGGCUUCAUGAAUUUUUUUGAGAUUAUAGAGCAUUGAAUUGGCCACCUGGAAUUAAUGGAAUCAGAUGAGGAAAUACUCUAUGUCAGAGAAUCAGAUUCUGAAGUUCAGCCUGACUUUUUCUUUCUUUUUAGCUCUUUUUACGUAACAGAACUACUUUUCAUUGUAAAACUACAGGAGUCUUAGCUGCACCCUCCAUGGACCAUCUUUCUUGCUCUUUUCCCUGUGUUUCAUCUUAUCCCUUUUUGUCUUUUUUCUUCUCUUUUCCAUUUAGGGCAGUCCACGUAUAGCAGCUAUUUUCCUAAAAGGAUCAUUGCAUUGUCUGCUUUGUUUUAACAUUCAAAUGCUCAGCUUGAAUUCCUGUCUCUUUAGACAUCAUGUAAGAAUGGUAAGCAUUGGAGUUUUAAGAUACAGUAAUUCUUUUUCUCCUCUCUCCACUCCUUGUCUCCAGCAGCCCUGUAAAAUAACCCAUCACUUUGCAUUUCUCAAGCAUUCAAGUGUUUAUAGAAUCUAACGAUCCUGAUCUCUCGCCUCCUCUUUAUGAGCAGAAAAUGAUAGUGGUAUGUGGCACAGUUCCCAGGGAAGCUGCAUGAAAAGUGGCAGACAAACACAUGCCAGGGUAUGGAAAACAGCCAUAGGUAUGUGCCUUCAGAGAUGUCCCAUCAACUCAGUUGGCACAUUUAAUGGUAUAAGGACUGUUCAACUUCAUUUUCCAGGAGAAAAGAAACUUGAGGGUUGUAUUUGAAGAUUUCCCCAAUCAGUCUUGUUUUGAAAUUCCGGCCAACAGCUGACCGUGGCUCCAAGCCAAAGGGAAAAAAAAGUAAUGCCAAAUGAAUUAAAGAGCUGGGGUCAAAUGGGAGGAGAGGGCUAUUGUGACAGGAUGAUUGUUCUUGGAGAAAUAAAGCUGAAUAGGAAUAGUAAUUAGUAACUUGCUUUUCUGUACACAUGAACUCACAAGAAGAAGCCCUGGGAAGCAAUGCUGUGGCAAGAAACUGUGGAUGGAAUCUAUAAGAACCCUUCUAGUUCUAGACUGGGAUUUCUUUACAUCAUAAGCUUAUAUUAUCUCUAUCUUCCCUGGGAUUCCUGGGUGGGAAAAUAACGGUGACAAUAGCUGGAUGUGAAAAACAGUCUGUGGAAACUCUGAAUGACCAGAGUGCAGUGGGUACUCAGAUCCUUGGACUGGAUUAAGGGUUGGUGGUUACAGGUGGUGAUCUGAGUAGACACACAGGGAGUAUUGUCUCACUGGGGCAGGGAGAAUCAGGCAGUAGGCACUGACAAAAUUCAUAUAGCAAUGAUAGUAAUUACAUGCCAGGCCCAGUUCUAAGCACUGAAUAUGAUUUAUCUUAUUCAUCCUCAUCCAACUCUGGGAUGUGACUAUUGUUCCCACUUUACAGAGACUGAGACAUGAAGAGUUUAAGUGACUUGCCUUAGGAGCCACAGGAAAUAAAUGCCAGAGCCAAGGUUUGAAUCUGUGCUCUUAAUUCCUACACGGUUCUUCAAGCAGACAAAUAGCUUCAGGAGCACCCAGCCUAGAGUCUGGAGAACGACCACCUCAGAGAUUCGUGAAUAUGAAUGAGUGAGGUCAGCUAGUGAGCAUUUGGAGGCAAGUAAGAGCUUACCAUGUAAACACAUUGGUUGACUGUCUACAAGUUCAGAGUUACUAUCUGAGUCAUCAGGCUUGAGUCUUGAUCCAUUUCCCUGUGAUUCUUUGUCUCUGCCUCCUCUGAGUGAUGACAAGUAGAGAUGUGGCUGUAGUAAUUCUGGAUCUCCUAUCAACACAGACCACUGGUCAGGAGAAACGAAACAGCUGUGAUCUGGUGCUGGCCCAGAGGAACAAGGAAGAACUUCCUCAGAUGCUUAGGGCAAACCUGUCUGCAUCUCAGGUCUCUGAACAGUCACAUGCCUGUUGCUGGUCUAGUCACUGAGGGGCAUGGCCUUGCACGUGGAAUAUCAGGAUAGGGGUAGGCCUAACACUUCCUGAGCCAGAUGAAGCUGAGGGGAUAACUGGGGACCUAAAUGAAAUGGCAGGUCUCUGAAGGAAAGGAAGAGAAAUAGGUGCUGUAGGGACCCCACAAUGGCUACUCCAGAGAGGCUGUGUGUUGGUCUUGGAGCUAUUGAUCAUCCCAUCCAUCCAGAAGCCUACUUUCUGGAAGGGGUAAAACUGGGUAGAGAUUGAGUCAAAGCUCAGUUACUCGCUAUGGAGCUUUCCAUAAGGCAAAUCAGAUGCUAUGCCACUUACCUACCAGCUUAGGAUUUCUUCUCUCUCUUCUGCUGGGGAAAACUGUUUUGAGGCAGUGGCCUUGAUAAAGCACAGGCAGAAGUUCAAGUGGGCCUUUAAUGACAGGGAGAGCUGUGUUCAUCAUUACGAAAUGAGGCUGAACAUUUAGCAGGUCAAGAUGGCUGGCCUGGUCUACUUUAUUUUAUUUAUUUAUGUAUUUAUUUAUUUUUAUUUAUUUUCCCACUGUACAGCAAGGGGGUCAGGUUAUCCUUACAUGUAUACAUUACAAUUACAGUUUUUCCCCCACCCUUUCUUCUGUUGCAACAUGAGUAUCUAGACAUAGUUCUCAAUGCUAUUCAGCAGGAUUGGCCUGGUCUACUUUAGAUAGCAUAUAGAAUACUCUUUUCUCUCUAUUUCUUAAAAUUUAUUUUUAUCAUUGGCUCCUUAGGCUUAUUUACAAACUGAAGUUUUAUUGACUGAUUUACUAAAAAGGCUUUUUCUAAAACACAACUGUGAAGUUAGUAAAAUGUUUCCUUGGUCCCCAGUGUGGUGCUUUGAGCAGUGGUGGCAAGAAUAGUGUCCCACACUGCCACUCCCACCUCCAAUGUCCAAGGCAGACAGGGGUCAUUUAUCAUGGUCUGCUUUCCUGCUGAGUGUGGUUACAGCUAGGAAUUAUUCUCCAUUCAGUGCUCAAGGCAGCCACUGCAGAGAUGGCACAAGAAGUUAUUUCACAUUCUUGCUUGGUGAGCUCUGUUUCUUGAGAGGCAGCAUGGGAGAGCAGAGGAACAUUCUAGAACUAUGUACCUAAUCAGGUCACUGAGCUUUGAAUCAGACAUAGUCAGAUGGGCUCAGGUUUGAAUCCAGGCUUUGCCACUAACUAACUUGGCAAAUUAACUUCUUUGAGCCUGUCUCCUCAUUGUAAAGUUAGAUGAAUGAUACCAAUUUCCUAGGCUAUUGGUGAUAUUAAAUGAGACGGAAUAUGCACUAUUCUUAGUGGAUCGUGUGGCUGCCCAAAUGUUAGUUCAUGUUGCUUUUCUAUCAAAACCUAGACCAGGGAGACAAUAUGAUAAACUUAUACUCAGUAACACGCAAACCUAUUAACAUUUUUUUUUUUUUUUUUGUCUUUUGCCAUUUUCUUGGGCCACUCCCACAGCAUAUGGAGGUUCCCAGGCUAGGGGUCUAAUCGGAGCUGUAGCCACCGGCCUACACCAGAGCCACAGCAACGCCAGAUCCGAGCUGUGUCUGCGACCUACGCUACAGCUCAUGGCAACGCCGGAUCCUUAACCCACUGAGCAAGGCCAGGGAUCGAACCCGCAACUUCAUGGUUCCUAGUUGGAUUUGUUAACGACCGAGCCAUGAUGGGAACUCCCUAUUAACAUUUUAACAGGAAAAUUCCUCGAAUGAAAGGAAUUAAUUGCUGAAGUGCUUUAUGUUAUGUUUGGGGAUCAAAUGUUUCGAGCAAAGAUUUCAUUUGCUCAAAGCCCUGAGAGCAUUGUUACUUCUACCUAAAGGACAAGGCUUGAUUUCAGUUUCUGUAAUGUCAAACUUGGUAGAGACUAGUGUUUUAGGGAAUUACAAAGAGAGGAGAAUCCAUAAUGUUUGCCCUUGAGGAAGUCAAACCAGAGGAACACAGUGACAAAUAAACAUACUGUGGAAUACAAAUAACUAAAGCUUGGAAAUACCCACAUAUGCUAAAUUGUAACUCCAUAAAUUGUAUUCAUUUCUAAAAUAUCUGCAUAAGCAGAGAGAUCAAUGGAACAGAAUAGAAUCUUAAGUAGGUCCAAAUACUUCAGGGAAUCUAGUGUAGGAUAAGGAUGGCAUUUUAAGUCUGUGAAGAAGGAAAGAUUAAUAAGGGGUAUUCAGACAACUUUUUUAGCAAUUUUGGAAAAAUAGAUCUUUGUGCUUUAAAGAGAAAAUGCAAAAAAUAUAAAAGUUUUAUAAGGUGUCACCAGAAAAAUAUU